rnacentral:rRNA from 1 species
GUGUCAGCAGCCGCGGUAAUACGGAGGAUCCAAGCGUUAUCCGGAAUCAUUGGGUUUAAAGGGUCCGUAGGCGGCUUUAUAAGUCAGUGGUGAAAUCCGGCAGCUCAACUGUCGAACUGCCAUUGAUACUGUAGAGCUUGAAUUAUUAUGAAGUAACUAGAAUAUGUAGUGUAGCGGUGAAAUGCUUAGAGAUUACAUGGAAUACCAAUUGCGAAGGCAGGUUACUAAUAAUACAUUGACGCUGAUGGACGAAAGCGUGGGUAGCGAACAGGAUUAGAUACCCCAGUAGUCC